GAUGAACGCUGGCGGCGUGCCUAAUACAUGCAAGUCGAGCGAACGGACGAGAAGCUUGCUUCUCUGAUGUUAGCGGCGGACGGGUGAGUAACACGUGGAUAACCUACCUAUAAGACUGGGAUAACUUCGGGAAACCGGAGCUAAUACCGGAUAAUAUUUUGAACCGCAUGGUUCAAAAGUGAAAGACGGUCUUGCUGUCACUUAUAGAUGGAUCCGCGCUGCAUUAGCUAGUUGGUAAGGUAACGGCUUACCAAGGCAACGAUGCAUAGCCGACCUGAGAGGGGGAUCGGCCACACUGGAACGGAGACACGGUCCAGACUCCUACGGGAGGCAGCAGUAGGGAAUCUUCCGCAAAGGGCGAAAGCCUGACGGAGCAACGCCGCGUGAGUGAUGAAGGUCUUCGGAUCGUAAAACUCUGUUAUUAGGGAAGAACAUAUGUGUAAGUAACUGUGCACAUCUUGACGGUACCUAAUCAGAAAGCCACGGCUAACUACGUG
rnacentral:rRNA from 1 species